CGUAAUUAGCAUCAUGUCACACAGCCGCUAAUGAAAGCUCACUGGUAUGGCUCUAACCCUUUACAGUAUGUAAUGAAAUGAACCAGCUAAACGGUGCAUUAAGUAUGAGUGUAUGUAAUGUAUGUGCAGGGUAGAUGUUUGGAGCAAACAGGUUGGGUUUCAUGUAAAUAACAGGCCAGCACGGAGUAGCUGUGCAGCUACUAGAGGGACCACUAGAAGAGCAGCUAGCUAAUGCUACUCGACUCUGGAGCAGCUGCCUGUCCAGUUCGAUCCAUGCUACCGCCCUCUGCUGGCUGUGGAUGGUGUUGCGUAUGGCUGCCAGCAGCUCAUCGGUGCAGCUCCAGGUGCUGGGCUCCAGGGUGUAGUAGAGCAAGGGCAGCGUCUCCAGCUGCAGCUCCUCGGCCUGGCACACCUCCUCCAUGACGCUGUCCUCUCCGCACCGUGGAAAGAACUUCCUAUUUCAAGUGUUGGAGCGACAUAUGCAGCAAGUUAGAGGAAACAACUUUGGUUUACACGGGAGAGCCUUCAGGCGGAUAUGGAUGACGAUGGGGUAAAUCCCCUGUCUCAGUAAGCCCUCAACACUGGGCAGCCCCAGCUCCAGCAGACAGUGCUUAUCCUGAGACAAGGAGGGAGAUUUGGAUCAUGCGUUAUUAUUACCAUGAACAUCUUCUCUCUCUAUAAAAUGAACAGACUGCAGCCGUAUUCCCAGAACCUGCUCCGGACUGCAGGAAUCCAACAGGAACACCCUUUUGUCUCGUCUCUCUGAAGCCUGAAUAGGCUCUGCAAACCGCAGGAAGCAGAGGAAAGAGGAGACUGUGACUCCGCUGGUUGCAGCAGCCUCUCUAUGAGACGACGGGAGAGGAGAGAGGGAGAGAAGAUGACCGGCCGCUUAGUCUGAACCUGCACCGGCUGCACUAAACUGUACGGGAUCAAAUGCUCCUCGUGACCUGAGAGGACACAUGAAGAUUUGGUAUUGUAUUCCGGGAUCUUACGUUUGCUGAGUGUGUAAAGGACCGGCUGGAUGGAGCCAGUCCCACGGCAACUGGGGUCCACCGCCUUGACCAAUCGUACACGUCCAGAUGCUUUCUUCAAGAACUACAUUCGGGAAAAUGGAGAAAAAUAAACUAGACUAAACUACUCUAA